AGAGAGGUGCCGUCCUAAAAAGGAGCAACAGGGGUCUCUCUCCAGCACAUUUCUCUUAAUUCGAUCGUCCGACCGCAAGCUAUACGAUCCCGGCGAGCGGCCUCGUUGGGGAAUGCCACUGUGUUAGGUUGUCUGAAAAUCCUUAGCCGUUAUAGUGUAUACUUUAUUUACGAUCUGGUGAGUUAAAGUUUCUAUUUAUCUUCAGCAUGGUCAGUGUUGAACCCUUGUGACAGAAUUCACAGCUGUCAUUCAGGAGCCGAGCCCGCCUCCAGAGUGGCCUUCCUCAGCGGACACGCCCCGUCCACCUGUUCCACAGGUGCGCCCGGCAAGAUGGCGGUUGGAUGAGUUUCUGCGGCUUUAGGUGACAAAAGGAUUUCAAGAGGGGAUCUCCAGUUAUGGAAAAACUGUUUUUUCCAGGUUCUGCUGCUCUUGGUCCUCAGCGCUCCGACGAUCUCCUUUCCAGCAACUCUUCGUGCGUUGGCAAGUUCUUCUUGGCAAUGUGUAUUUCUCCUUAAAUUUCGUUAUUGACACCAGUGGCUUGAUCUGAAAUGCACCGAUUGAGUGAUGUAUCUUGCUCUUCAUGUAGCGAAGUUCUUAACCUGUGUUUUCCUGUUGACUGCUGCUAUGUGCUGUGCAUUGUACAAUAAAAGCUGUUGAUCGCAUUUUCUGAAUUGUCUUCUAUUUUUUGAAGGGGUGUUGGAAGGGUUUGCUCUGGGCUGAUGUCUCAGUACUGUAAGUGUUUGGCUGGAGAUUCUGGAGCGAUCACAAGCAGUUUCCAAGAAAC
rnacentral:lncRNA from 1 species